rnacentral:rRNA from 1 species
GUUAAGCAGUAAAUGUGGAGCCGUAGCGAAAGCGAGUCUGAAUAGGGCGUUUAGUAUUUGGUCGUAGACCCGAAACCAGGUGAUCUACCCUUGGUCAGGUUGAAGUUCAGGUAACACUGAAUGGAGGACCGAACCGACUUACGUUGAAAAGUGAGCGGAUGAACUGAGGGUAGCGGAGAAAUUCCAAUCGAACCUGGAGAUAGCUGGUUCUCUCCGAAAUAGCUUUAGGGCUAGCCUCAAGUGAUGAUUAUUGGAGGUAGAGCACUGUUUGGACGAGGGGCCCCUCUCGGGUUACCGAAUUCAGACAAACUCCGAAUGCCAAUUAAUUUAACUUGGGAGUCAGAACAUGGGUGAUAAGGUCCGUGUUCGAAAGGGAAACAGCCCAGACCACCAGCUAAGGUCCCAAAAUAUAUGUUAAGUGGAAAAGGAUGUGGCGUUGCCCAGACAACUAGGAUGUUGGCUUAGAAGCAGCCAUCAUUUAAAGAGUGCGUAAUAGCUCACUAGUCGAGUGACACUGCGCCGAAAAUGUACCGGGGCUAAACAUAUUACCGAAGCUGUGGAUUGUCCUUUGGACAAUGGUAGGAGAGCGUUCUAAGGGCGUUGAAGCAUGAUCGUAAGGACAUGUGGAGCGCUUAGAAGUGAGAAUGCCGGUGUGAGUAGCGAAAGACGGGUGAGAAUCCCGUCCACCGAUUGACUAAGGUUUCCAGAGGAAGGCUCGUCCGCUCUGGGUUAGUCGGGUCCUAAGCUGAGGCCGACAGGCGUAGGCGAUGGAUAACAGGUUGAUAUUCCUGUACCACCUAUAAUCGUUUUAAUCGAUGGGGGGACGCAGUAGGAUAGGCGAAGCGUGCGAUUGGAUUGCACGUCUAAGCAGUAAGGCUGAGUAUUAGGCAAAUCCGGUACUCGUUAAGGCUGAGCUGUGAUGGGGAGAAGACAUUGUGUCUUCGAGUCGUUGAUUUCACACUGCCGAGAAAAGCCUCUAGAUAGAAAAUAGGUGCCCGUACCGCAAACCGACACAGGUAGUCAAGAUGAGAAUUCUAAGGUGAGCGAGCGAACUCUCGUUAAGGAACUCGGCAAAAUGACCCCGUAACUUCGGGAGAAGGGGUGCUCUUUAGGGUUAACGCCCAGAAGAGCCGCAGUGAAUAGGCCCAAGCGACUGUUUAUCAAAAACACAGGUCUCUGCUAAACCGUAAGGUGAUGUAUAGGGGCUGACGCCUGCCCGGUGCUGGAAGGUUAAGAGGAGUGGUUAGCUUCUGCGAAGCUACGAAUCGAAGCCCCAGUAAACGGCGGCCGUAACUAUAACGGUCCUAAGGUAGCGAAAUUCCUUGUCGGGUAAGUUCCGACCCGCACGAAAGGCGUAACGAUUUGGGCACUGUCUCAACGAGAGACUCGGUGAAAUCAUAGUACCUGUGAAGAUGCAGGUUACCCGCGACAGGACGGAAAGACCCCGUGGAGCUUUACUGUAGCCUGAUAUUGAAAUUCGGCACAGCUUGUACAGGAUAGGUAGGAGCCUUUGAAACGUGAGCGCUAGCUUACGUGGAGGCGCUGGUGGG